CGAAAGUCGGGAUUAAUACCCCAUGAAACAGGGGUCCCGCAUGGGAAUAUUUGUUAAAGAUUCAUCGCUGAUAGAUAGGCAUGCGUUCCAUUAGGCAGUUGGCGGGGUAACGGCCCACCAAACCGACGAUGGAUAGGGGUUCUGAGAGGAAGGUCCCCCACAUUGGUACUGAGACACGGACCAAACUCCUACGGGAGGCAGCAGUGAGGAAUAUUGGUCAAUGGCCGAGAGGCUGAACCAGCCAAGUCGCGUGAAGGAAGAAGGAUCUAUGGUUUGUAAACUUCUUUUAUAGGGGAAUAAAGUGGAGGACGUGUCCUUUUUGUAUGUACCCUAUGAAUAAGCAUCGGCUAACUCCGUG
rnacentral:rRNA from 1 species